GGAGUCGUGGCUGAGCGGCCGAAAGCGUCACCCUGCUAAGGUGAAGUCCCUUGAACUGGGGACCGAGGGUUCAAAUCCCUCCGACUCCG
rnacentral:tRNA from 9 species